UACAGAGGCCUCGAGCGUUUAGGCGGAAUCACUGGGCUUAAAGCGCGUGUAGGCGGAUCGUUAAGUGUCUUGUGAAAUCCCACGGCUCAACCGUGGAACUGCUGGGCAUACUGGCGAUCUUGGGCCACUCAGGGGCGACCGGAACAAGCGGUGGAGCGGUGAAAUGCGUAGAUAUCGCUUGGAACGCCAAAGGGUGAAGACAGGUCGCUGGGGGUGUGCCGGACGCUGGAGACGCGAAAGCCCAGGGGAGCAAACGGG
rnacentral:rRNA from 1 species